rnacentral:lncRNA from 1 species
UAUUGGGACUGACAAACCAUUAGGCGGUGGCCAAGAGUGACAGGACACAGUGAUCCUGCUGGGAGGGAGAGUGCAUCAGCGAGUUCCGAGUCUCCUACGGCCUGAGAAGGGCCUUUCUACUCCUGCCAACCUCGGAAGGUUCCUGGGAGAGCUGGCUUCACUUGGCCAGGACACCUGCUGAGCUGGUACCAUGAAAGAAGAGGUGAAGGGAAUUCCUGUAAGAGUGGCACUGCGUUGUCGCCCCCUUGUCUCUAAAGAGAUUAAUGAGGGCUGCCAGACGUGCCUUUCUUUUGUGCCCGGAGAGCCUCAGGUGGUGGUUGGUACUGAUAAAUCAUUUACCUACGAUUUUGUGUUUGACCCCUCUACUGAACAGGAAG